rnacentral:lncRNA from 1 species
GACAUCCCUAUGUCAAUGACAACACUUUGUCAUCAAUCAACUACACAUUAGUCUCAAUGCAUUAUCAUUGUCUAAGCCUACAAUAAUACUUGACUAAGGACCUUUUAAGAAUAAUCAUAUUAUUCUCAGGACUUUAUUAUUAACCAGUUUAUUUGUACACACAGAAAAAAAAAACAAUGGCAAAGCCUUAUAUUAACAAACAAGUAUGUGAUUACAAUCAUAUCAUGAUUAGUCUUUGGACAUACUCAAAC